CAGGAAAUUCACAAUCUACAGAGCAAGAAAACAGAUGUGGGUGAGCUACAGAAGGAAAGAGAGGACGCCAUGCAGAGACUCCAGGAUCUGGAGAGACGAAACACUGAGCUGGAGGAUCGGGUUCAGAGCGCUGAAAGGACGCUCGCCCUCCAGCCGGGAGGAGCGGGAGCAGGCGGAGGUCGAGGUCCGACGCGUCAUCGAGGUUCUGGAUGUCAAAAUCUGUGACCUGAAGGACCUGAGACAGAGCCUGGCAAAACUUGUUGAUAAAUAGCCACAGCAGCAGUUGGGCUGCAUCUCCACAGCCAGAGCUGGUUUCCUUCAUGUGGCUUUGAUUUGUGUUCCACUGAUUUAACAGCAGAGCAGAAAUCAAAGCAUGAGGGAGGAAACGUACAGGCGUUUACCUUCAUGGAUCUCGGUUUGGGUUAGGGUUUUUUAAGAUCAGUGCAGAAACCUCUUACAGGUGCCAUGUGCAGCACAAACCAUCUGUACUGUGCAUCACUGUCACAUUAACCUUGCAAUAAUUAUCUUAAACGAUUGACAGUAUGGUCUAAUUUGCUACUGCUACUUGCUUUUCCAUGCUACAAUUCAGCUGCAAGUCCUUCAGCCCCUCAAUCCUGAAGAGGAUAAAGAUUUUUUCAGCAUCUGACAUCACUGACAACAGACAGCUUUAUGUCUGUUUUCUGUAGAAGAACAGCGCCCUCCUACACUUUUUCAUGCCAUAGCAAUCAAGUGUAUUAUGUUAAAAUCUGACCUGGUGAUUUAAUGUAAAGAUGCAGAGGCUGAAAGAAGCUGAAGCUCUUUUCAGUGAUGGUCUCAAUUGUUUAUGAUAAUUAUACUGAUAAUUUAUUUAAGUGAUGAUUUAUUCAUAAGAAUACGCAGUACUACACAAAGCACCUUUAACAGAGGACUUGCACAAAAACAGAUUUUAAGUUUGCUAUUUUGCAAAGGUAGACAUUUCCUACAGGUAUUUAGGGAUUUUUUUACUUGUGUAUUAGUUUAUUUUUGUGUGGUCUAUCCUUGUUUAAUACAGAGUGGGGAAUCUACUUGUACUGGUGUAGUUCUCUCACUGACCUAAGAGGCAAGAGGAAGAGUAAGACUUGGAAAUAAUAAAAAAAAAAUUACGGCCCGACAGUGUUUAAUAAAAGGCAGUGCUCUGAUUUCCUGCAGAGCCAGAGGUCUCAACCACUCAACCGUGUCUGGGCACAAUAACUGUAACAGCCGGAGUUGCAUCAGGCCAUGAGAUGGCUGAAAGAUAAAGUUUUAUGAAUAACUGCAUUUUUAUACCUUAUACAUAAAUAUUUUUAUCAUAACUCUGGACAUUUAGUUUAUAGAAACCUCAAAAUGGCUGUUCAUAAAUGCUUCAUUCAGUGUUGUCAGAGGCCCCUUUCCCAUUAAACUAAUAGCCUGAGGCCCACACAUAAUAGCCCUGUAUGAAUAAAGCUUUUAGAUUAGCAUUUUCUCAUAAUGUUACUGCUAAAUCUCAAAACUGAGUGCUAGUAAGAGAACUGAUAAAAAAGAAAUCAAGCUAUAAAAGCAAAAUGUCUGCCUUUGUACAAUAACAGACGUGAGUUUAUUUUGGUGUCAUCCUUUCCUUUAACACUGUGGAGAUGCACCCAGUAAGAGUUUGGUUGGGGUAAGGACACAUGAAGGCAAAGACCUUAAAUAAAGUCAGUUCCAGUUCACCAUCAGCAGCCUGUACUGGCCUCACACCAGCCAGAACAUCAAAAAACUCAGAGAUGCAACAACCUGCUCUCAUUUUGUCCUCUGAGGAUCGCCAGCGCAUGACCGUUGUAUUUUGCUCAUGUUUCGUGAGGACUACUCUUUCUCACCACUUAUUCUGUUAUUCAUGUUCAUUCAUGGGUCACUCACAGGCAAGAUAGGACAUCAACAAUAGCUUCCCAGCUAAAAUGAUGCUAAAUUCAAGCUGCGACUUAGUAGGUUUGUCCCCUCCACCGGCCACUGACACAUAGAUCAGCAUUUGAAGGAAAGAUCCUAAAGUGUCACUGUGGCCUGUGGACGAAGGUGCUGCUUCUCCACUCUGACGUCGCUGAGUUCAACCUGAGAUUGCACUUGAUGAUGUUUCUGCCAAGUUUUACUUUGUUUACAUUUGUCUGUGUUCACAAAAUGAUCCUGUUCUACUUUAUGUACUUUCUCUGUGUUUCGCAACACUACCAUUUACCAUAAUAGUAAUAAUAACCCUAGAGAGAGUCUAAGCACAGCCGCAGAGCAUAGAUCACUAUGAGAGCACUGCAUGAGCUCUGCAGAAGCCCCCGUACCUGCCAAGGAAUGUGAAACUGUGUGUGUGUGUGUGUGUGUGUGUGUGUGUGUGUGCGUGUGCGUUUGUGUGUGUAUGUACACAUUACUUAGCAGUGUGCUACCUCAGACUGCUUGAGUUAAAAAGCACAACUGCAGUAGUUUUAGCAAAUGGGUACUUAAUUGACUUGUCUGUCUAGCUUUGUAUGUGAACUUCUGAUGCACACUAUUGAUCUUUGCUUCUUGCCCCCUGAUGAGUUAUUGAUUUCUUCAUAUGACAGUAAUAUAGGUACAAAUAAGGUGCAGCUCUUUGCAGCUGAUGAUGCAGUAACUGUCAGAAUCAUAAUAACAUGUCAAAAUGUGAUUUAAACAGGUCAUAACUAAAUCUGUUGAUGUGAUAAACUGCCAGACUGUGGUAGUAGUAUUACAUUAACAUGCAAUUAUUACUUUGUAAGGCUUGUAUCAUUUUCAACUGAUGGUGUAUUUAUCAUUUACACUUUAGGUGACUUAACUUUGAGAUUUUAUCAUAGGGAGUCAAAAUGAUCUCCUCAGCCAUUUCAGCAUAUCUUAUACUUAAUAUAAUGAUACAGCACUGAUCACAUUAAGGGUUUUAUUAUACUUUAAGUCCAAUAAGACUGACGUGUCAUCACUUUGACUGGUUAUUACAUUAUCUGGCAUUUCUGGCAUCAGCCUCUUCAUGCAAGUAAAACUGAAUUAGCAAUAAAGUUUCUAGCAUAGAUGCCUGUUCAUAGUAGAUACAAGUAAUUUGUAGGUAAUGACACCUGUUCUCUUCCAUUUUAACAACAGAAGUGUUUUUUUUUUCUCAUGGCUUCAAAUGAUUUGAACGGAUCGUUACCAGCCUUUUAUCAAACAUGAAGAAGAUACACAGGCCGUCGGCUCCUCGCAGCACGAGCUCCUCACGGUUAAUGUCAGAAACACUUAGCUCCACAAAAGCCUUAUUCCAGUGUAUAAUUACUACACAAUAACACUGUGUGAAUACAUUAGUAGUAGUUUGUGUAUACACAGAGAGGGAGCAGAGUGACUGUCCUCUAACUGUAAAGCCCAACUUCCCUCCUGGUGUCUCACCUCUGUUUUGACUUAUCAUACUUGAGAGUGUAACAGUGUUUCAAGUACACUAUGUAAGCAGCUUUGUUCCAAUUUUAUAAUAGAAAAUGAAUUAGAUCUUCAGUAUUAUUGUAUGGCUACAAGAUAAAGGAGGAAUCCAUCUCAUAUUUCAGACAGUUAGCUAUUAGUUAGUUAUUUCAAUUAAUAGUUGAAGCAGGUUGAAUGAAUUGAUUCCUCCUUAAAUACACUGGAAUAAGGCCUUUUUAAAACAUCUGUUGCCAGCUGUUAGAGAGAAUGCAGUACCAAAGAUGCACCACUGUCACGCUGAAGCCACAUAAACUGGAAUAAACACACAA